AAACCUAUAGUGUAACGUUAGCACGUCAGUUUUUGGCACUGGCAGUACAGGUUCAAAUCCUGUUAGGUUUAC
rnacentral:tRNA from 1 species